rnacentral:rRNA from 1 species
CCUACGGGUGGCAGCAGUGGGGAAUAUUGGACAAUGGGGGCAACCCUGAUCCAGCCAUGCCGCGUGUGUGAAGAAGGCCCUCGGGUUGUAAAGCACUUUCAGUGAGGAAGAACGCCUGGUGGUUAAUACCCAUCAGGAAAGACAUCACUCACAGAAGAAGCACCGGCUAACUCCGUGCCAGCAGCCGCGGUAAUACGGAGGGUGCGAGCGUUAAUCGGAAUUACUGGGCGUAAAGCGCGCGUAGGUGGCUUGAUAAGCCGGUUGUGAAAGCCCCGGGCUCAACCUGGGAACGGCAUCCGGAACUGUCAAGCUAGAGUGCAGGAGAGGAAGGUAGAAUUCCCGGUGUAGCGGUGAAAUGCGUAGAGAUCGGGAGGAAUACCAGUGGCGAAGGCGGCCUUCUGGACUGACACUGACACUGAGGCGCGAAAGCGUGGGUAGCAAACAGGAUUAGAUACCCUUGUAGUC